rnacentral:lncRNA from 1 species
UACAUGAGUGAAAAUGUUACUAGUUAGCAGCUUUUGUUGUAAUAACUCACUGAUUUUUCUCCUUCUAAAAUUCUUUUUAUCACCAUUUGUGUCUUUUCUAGGAAAGCAGAUAAAUGUCAGUGACCUAAAAAAAGCCCUGAAAGACAUGAAAGUAGAAGUCACAGAUAAGGAAUACUUGAAUUUAGUAAAAACUCUACCAGUUGAUGGAGGAAAGAUUGAUAUGAUUAACCUGGACACAUUUUUGGAAAAUAUGGGGAUGGAGCUUUCACAUAAAGAGCUUGAAGAUUUUUCACAAAACCUGCCAGUUGAUGGUGAGCAUUGUAGAUAAAAAUUUAUUCCCUUUAGGACAUAUUGGGUUUGAGAACGUUUGUAAAUUAAUGAUAGUACUUAUUUGGUUUUAACAGAGCAU